UACGGGGGGAGCAAGCGUUGUUCGGAUUUAUUGGGCGUAAAGAGCGUGUAGGCGGCCAGGUAGGUCUGGUGUGAAAACUCGAGGCUUAACCUCGAGAUGUCAUCGGAAACCAUCUGGCUAGAGUCCGGAAGAGGAGAGUGGAAUUCCUGGUGUAGCGGUGAAAUGCGCAGAUAUCAGGAAGAACACCAAUGGCGAAGGCAGCUCUCUGGGACGGUACUGACGCUGAGACGCGAAAGCGUGGGGAGCGAACAGG
rnacentral:rRNA from 1 species